rnacentral:snoRNA from 1 species
ACAGUCCCAGCUCCGCAUAGCAAUGUUUGAUGUGUCUGUGCGGCGUUUCAUGACUGUAAGAGAAAUGUUGCACAUAUUAUAUCUUUGUUAAUUGGGCACCCUGUAUGCCUAAUUGAUGAAAACGUAUGUUCCACAAU